GGCCUGGUAGCCAAGCGGCAAGGCAAGGGUCUGCAAAACCCUCAUCGCGGGUUCGAUUCCCGCCCAGGCCUCCA
rnacentral:tRNA from 1 species